UUUUUUGUUCUUCUUUUUCUUCUUCUUUUUGCUUGAUACGCUACCAUUUUCAGUGGAUAAUUGAAUAUUUUUCAUCAUAAUCGACACGAAAGAUUGAAAUUC
rnacentral:ribozyme from 15 species